UCCGAUAUGGUGUAGUGGCUAACAUUAUCGCCUCUCAUAUUGGUGAACGCGAUAGCCCGGGGUUCGAUUCCCCGUGUCGGAA